AACGUAGGACGCAAGCGUUAUCCGGAGUUACUGGGCGUAAAGGGCGCGUAGGCGGCCUUCUAAGUCGAACGUGAAAUCCCCGGGCUCAACCCGGGAACUGCGUCCGAUACUGGGAGGCUUGAAUCCGGGAGAGGGAUGUGGAAUUCCAGGUGUAGCGGUGAAAUGCGUAGAUAUCUGGAGGAACACCGGUGGCGAAGGCGGCAUCCUGGACCGGUAUUGACGCUGAGGCGCGAAAGCCAGGGGAGCAAACGGG
rnacentral:rRNA from 1 species